rnacentral:rRNA from 1 species
GACGAACGCUGGCGGCGUGCUCAACACAUGCAAGUCGAGCGGUAAGGCUCCUUCGGGAGUACACGAGCGGCGAACGGGUGAGUAACACGUGAGCAAUCUGCCCUUCACAUCGGAAUAACUUCGGGAAACCGAAGCUAAUACCGAAUACGACCAUCGGAGGCAUCUCCUGAUGGUGGAAAGCUCCGGCGGUGGAGGAUGAGCUCGCGGCCUAUCAGCUUGUUGGNGGGUACGG